AAAGCAGGUUGGAUGAUCGCGGCUCUUUCUUUUAAAAAGAGAGAGACGAGGAAAGUCCGGGCUUCAAAGGGCAGGAUGCCGGAUAACGUCCGGCGGAGGUGACUCCCGGGAAAGUGCAACAGAGAAGAAACCGCUGGUUUUCCAGUAAGGGUGAAACGGCAGUGUAAGAGACUACCGCACGGCUGGUGACAGUUGUGGCAAUGUAAACCCCAUCCGAAGCAAGACCGCAGAGGAACGAUAAGCUUGCCCGGCUUGUUCCAGGUAGGUCGCUUGAGACUGAUGGCAACAUCAGCCCUAGAUAGAUGAUCAUCGAAGACAUAACCCGGCUUAUAGACCUGCUUUUUUU
rnacentral:RNase_P_RNA from 1 species